AGCGGCCCUCCACAGCCAGGGCGGAAUGCUUGCCUCAUCGCUGUGGCGACAAAGCAAGCAUUCCACCAGGCUGCUCAUGCUGCCAAC
rfam:Myotis brandtii contig161400, whole genome shotgun sequence.